CAAAAACUUCAGGGUCGGGUGAAAUUCCCAAUCGGCGGUAAACCCCGCAAGCCGAAAGGCAGGAACCGUGUGAAACUCCGGUGGCGACAGUAUAGUCUGGAUGAAAGAAGUUAACG
rnacentral:ncRNA from 2 species